UAAAAGAUGCCAACUAGCGAUCCGCCGGUGGAUUUUUAGCCCUGGUGGGUAGCUUCCCGGAAACGAAAGUCUUCCGGUUCCGGGGGAAGUAUGGUUGCAAAGCUGAAACUUAAAGGAAUUGACGGAAGGGCACCACCAGGAGUGGAGCCUGCGGCUUAAUUUGACUCAACACGGGGAAACUCACCCGGCCCGGACACCGUAAGGAUUGACAGAUUGAUAGCUCUUUCAUGAUUCGGUGGUUGGUGGUGCAUGGCCGUUCUUAGUUCGUGGAUCGAUUUGUCUGGUUUAUUCCGAUAACGAGCGAGACUCUAGCCUACUAAAUAGUAACGAGAUUAUCAAUGUCUCAGUUGCUUCUUAGAGGGAUUUUCGGUGUUUAGCCGCACGAGAUUGAGCAAUAACAGGUCUGUGAUGCCCUUAGAUGUCCGGGGCUGCACGCGCGCUACACUGGCGAAAUCAGCGUGCUGUAUCCAUUCUCGAAAGGGAUUGGUAAACCCAUGAAAAUUUGCCGUGCUUGGGAUCGGAAAUUGCAAUUAUUUUCCGUGAACGAGGAAUUCCAAGUAAGUGCGAGUCAUCAACUCGCUCUGAUUACGUCCCUG
rnacentral:rRNA from 1 species